CCUCAAGUAUCAGAAGUGAGAUGCCCUGGGUACGAGUAUACCAUGGUUACCUGAGUGUAUUUUGGUAACCUCAGGAUACUCGUUCCUGGUGUAUACUUCUUUGUCCACUUACAACA
rnacentral:precursor_RNA from 12 species